rnacentral:rRNA from 1 species
AUUGAACGCUGGCGGCACGCCUUACACAUGCAAGUCGAACGGUAACGGGCCUUCGGGUGCCGACGAGUGGCGCACGGGUGAGUAAUACAUCGGAACGUGCCCGAUCGUGGGGGAUAACGAGGCGAAAGCUUUGCUAAUACCGCAUACGAUCUACGGAUGAAAGCAGGGGACCGCAAGGCCUUGCGCGGACGGAGCGGCCGAUGGCAGAUUAGGUAGUUGGUGGGAUAAAAGCUUACCAAGCCGACGAUCUGUAGCUGGUCUGAGAGGAUGAUCAGCCACACUGGGACUGAGACACGGCCCAGACUCCUACGGGAGGCAGCAGUGGGGAAUUUUGGACAAUGGGCGCAAGCCUGAUCCAGCCAUGCCGCGUGCAGGAUGAAGGCCUUCGGGUUGUAAACUGCUUUUGUACGGAACGAAAAGCCUUCUUUUAAUACAGGAGGGUCAUGACGGUACCGUAAGAAUAAGCACCGGCUAACUACGUG